rnacentral:rRNA from 1 species
AUGGCUCCGGUACGGCGGCUCCCUGGAGAUCCUCCUCCACAGUACGGGAAAUCAUUGUUUGAUGGUCUGCGAGUGCUCGGGUGUGAUGCUGACACAAAUUAUAUGAUGUCUGUGGUCAGCAAGAUCAAAACUUUUGAGCUAUAUGUGAAUGAUAAAGAUCUGGAGAGAUCAAUCUUCAAUGAUAAUGACAUUCCAAUGACUGGAGGCCCUGAGCUGCCUAAGGUUUUUACUCCUACAAAGAGAAAGCCACUGGAUAUUCCACCCUUCUAUGAUAAUGUCAUCAGCCCCAAACAGAGAGCAAAACUUCAGAGAAAUUUUGACAGGAGAGAGGCUGAGGCAUGGAACAGUAAUGCAGGGCAUCAGUUCACAUAUGAGAGGAGAAGCAAUAGGAGGAGGGCUCAGUUUGAACCAGAAGUUGAAGAGGACAGUUCUGGGGGUGAAGACAGUAGUAGUGGAUCAGAGUUUGUGGACUCCGAUAAUGAGUUCGAUAAAGAUGAUGACAACCUAUAUGAGAAGUAUGUUGAUGCAGAUGCAGAGGAGGAUGAGCAGAGCAAGGACAAGGACAAGGACAAGGAUAUUGGAAGCUCAAAGGAAAAGGGAAAUGCAAAGCAUAGGAUUUGUGUACGACACUUAUACCAGAACUUCCAUGCCAAUUGGAAGGGUGAAACAUUGAAGAACCAGUUGUGGGCAAUAGCAAGAAGCAACAAUAUGGCUACAUGGAAAAAGAACAUGGAGGAGAUGAAGGAGAUGAAUCUAGAAGCAUGGGCAUAUUUGGAUGGCCUUGCCCCUAACACAUGGUGUAGGUCAUUUUUCGAAGAAUUACCUAAAUGUGAUCUACUCCUCAACAACAGUUGUGAGGUCUUCAACAAAUGGAUACUUGAUGCAAGGGAGUUACCAAUUCUAAGCAUGUUGAGGAAGAUCAAGGCGCAGUUGAUGACACGAUGAGAUCCAGCUGAGUGGCAGAAAACAAAUGGUCCUCCGGUAGAACCUCCAAAAGUGCCUGCACUAGAAAAACUACCUGUGAGAAGAAAUUUGCUUCAAGCACCUACUGCACAGGACUCCCAAUGCACUGAGAUGACCAUCACACAGAUACCUGGUGAGGAUAGUUCACACACAUGUUCGGUGCUGUCAACAUUAUUCCAAGAGGUUGAAGCAUCUCAAGUAACACCUGAUGCACCACCAGGACCACUUCCUGAGUGCUCUUUCGUUGCAUCGAGGAGAGAUGAGCUGCCAGUGCCUAGGGCUACAACCAGUGCACAAUUUCUGAAGAAAAAGCUACAAACUAAGAAGAAAAAGACAACUCCUAAAGCAGCUGUUAGGCAAGCCUUUGUGCCUCCUAGAGCAGCCACUCAAGCCUCCCAAACAGAUGCUGCUGUUGGUGUAACUGAAGCAGCAAAACAGGCCAGAAGAACAAAGACAAAGAAAAUGCCUAAAGAUUAA